rnacentral:rRNA from 1 species
GAUGAACGCUGGCGGCGUGCCUAAUACAUGCAAGUCGAGCGAAUGGAUUAAGAGCUUGCUCUUAUGAAGUUAGCGGCGGACGGGUGAGUAACACGUGGGUAACCUGCCCAUAAGACUGGGAUAACUCCGGGAAACCGGGGCUAAUACCGGAUAACAUUUUGAACCGCAUGGUUCGAAAUUGAAAGGCGGCUUCGGCUGUCACUUAUGGAUGGACCCGCGUCGCAUUAGCUAGUCGGUGAGGUAACGGCUCACCAAGGCAACGAUGCGUAGCCGACCUGAGAGGGGGAUCGGCCACACUGGGACUGAGACACGGCCCAGACUCCUACGGGAGGCAGCAGUAGGGAAUCUUCCGCAAUGGACGAAAGUCUGACGGAGCAACGCCGCGUGAGUGAUGAAGGCUUUCGGGUCGUAAAACUCUGUUGUUAGGGAAGAACUAGUGCUAGUUGAAUAAGCUGGCACCUUGACGGUACCUAACCAGAAAGCCACGGCUAACUACGUGCCAGCCGCCGCAGUAA